GUCUAACAUGUUUAAAGAAUUAAGCAAAGCAGUCCCACAGAAAGGAAUGUUUAGGCUCUCAAGUGUUACACCUGAAAAUAAAUAUAUUAUGAGGUGUUCUUUUAAAUGGAGCAUGAAAUGUCUGUAGAUAAAAUUUUUAUAUUCUUUGAUGUGUAAAUAAGGAAUCCACAUUAGACUUGGACUGCUGAAAGUAUAACUAGUCCCCAUACUUUCUUUAUUAAAAAACUUUACUGUUUGCUUUCAACUUUUCAUUUUCCUGACAUUAUCUUCUUGUUUGCAGCUGAAUUAUAAAUAACCACUGUUACAGAAAGUCUAUUCUUUCAGUAUUUCCUGUUAGACAAAAAAGCAUUAUUAGCUGGAUGUCUCUAGUGCUCAUUUGUUCUCCAGAGACUUUCAGAUAUGUAUUUAAGGUCAGAUAUUCAGGGCAUUUAGACAAAUUACUGUGUGUUUCUCUAGACCCACUUCAGACCAGCUGAUUGGUCCUAGCCAUCCAAAGUAGCACAUUUCCCUGGAAAUGGUGACUAAAGAAAUCUUUCACCACCAAAAUCCAAAAAUUUUAAGCCAAAAGUUAGUGAUGACCAAUGGACCUUUUCUUCAUUCACUUAACAGUUACUCCAUGGUUGAAAUUACUUAAUUAUGUUCAAUCAGACUUUGAAAUCUUUAAUUGCAGAGUACAUCAAAACCUCUGUGAGUUACACCCUCGACAGCAAUGUUCACAGGAGCCACAAAGAAGAACAGGAACACCCACAUUGGCCAACAGGACAGUGAUGGACAAAGAGGUCCAAAGAGCCGCUUUCCUGCUAGACCUGAUCUCCUGCCUUUGACAGCCUCAUGCUUGAACACAGUGUGAAACACGGAUAAACUAUCUACUUCUGACCUGUCCGAGCUCAUCAAACAAAACCAAAAAACAUCUCACAGAACUUCCAUCUGGAAGCAUGAGUUGGCUGGGCUAGAUGCACAAACCCUGUCAAGCCUUCCUGUAAGUCUUGCCACUAUAUUAACUUUGAAAUAAUGCUCAGU
rnacentral:lncRNA from 1 species